GAAAAAUUGGUUAUUGUACAAAAUAAAUCAAAAAAGCAUUGAAUAUUAAUCCCAUUAGAAUAAUAUUUAAAAAUAUAUAUUUUAAUGACAGAGGAAUUUGACCUUUGAACAGCUCACAUCAACAACAAGACAUGGGAAAAUAGACCUGCAGCCCUCCAGCUGAGGAUCUCUAUAAACCAAUCCAACUGAGGACAACAAAACGUGAUGCUGUUAUUUAGAAAGGGCCUGCCAGAAAAACUAAUAGUCUCAUUUUUAAUCUAUGCAUUUGCAUUGAUGCACAUAAGCAUAACUUCAAUAAUUUAUGAGAGAUGAUGAAACUUGUACUUCACCUCACUUAUUUCAUAGGGUAAACAUGUCUUCUAGUUGCUGUCCCCAGAGUUGUGGUUACUAAAAAUAUCUGUUUGUGUAGCCCUUGUGCAAUACUGACUGAGAUGAAGUGAAGCUGUAUCCCUUACUCACUAGCUGCUUUCUUUCAGCUCAGAGUAAUCUGUGAGUAAAAACUGUCAUCCAGCUGUUACGUAAGAGAAUACAAUAGAUAAAAGAGAAUAGAUGGCAGCGCGUGUGUCCCUGCCCUCAUUGCUAGCAGUUUUAUCAGUAUCCUAAUUCCUUCACAGGCUGUGGUAAUCUAAAGGCACCCACUGCUAGCAUGUAAUGUAAUGGGUCUUCGCACUCCCCAUAAAGUACAGUCUCACUGUGGCUGCUCUUUGAAGCUGAGGCAGCCUAUGGCAUGGCCUGAGUAGCUUCUUUCUAUAAUGGAAUAUUUUUGCAUAAAUUGAGACUUAAGACUUGCCUGUUUUUUUUAUUUUUAUUUUUUUUAUUAUUAUUAUUUGAAGAAACUGAGAGUAUAGAAAUAUCUUCCCCUCUGCAAUGAAAACGGACCCGGUCCUUAGGUGAAUUUAAUUAAUACACUCAUGACCCCAUCAUAAUGCAGCAUGCAAACUGGUUCAUCUGCAUUUCUUUCUAAAGCUGCACAUUUCUGCCCCCAUCAAAUGGUUCUGUUGGUUAUGUGAGACAUCCUGUUUAGUCUCUCAAAGAAUUCUUUCUCUCUCUCUGCCUCACCUUACAAAGAGUUUGAUGAGUCAUUCAAAUAUGCACAUUUUUUCACAUUGUGCACAGAGGCCAGAAUAAAAGUCCUUGAGGCUGACUCUCAGUUAUAGUCAGAAUUCUGCUUUAAUAGAUUCAUUUUAAAUAGUGGAUUUAGAUUAACGUUUUCAGAUCCAUUCAUAGCGAAAAGCAUAUAUGCAUAUUCACAAGAAUGGAGUUUUCUUAGAAAAGGGCCAGUAAAUAAAGUCCGAUUAAGCAUUCACUAGUGAACAGAAAGCUAAUUUUUUCAAGUUGUUUGGAAUUACAAAAAAGAGUCAGUAUUUACUUACCUUCAUGUGUUUUUUUAAUUUUAUUUUGGAACACAAAAAGACUCAAAAAUAGAAUAUUUGAUUAAUCUUUUGAUGAAUCUUUGCACAGCUUUCCAAUCGACUUGCAGAACACAAAGAACCAUAAAAAUAGUUAAUAUGUUGAGUCUUUGAAUUCCAUAUGAAUCGGGUUGCUAUUCACAGGAAAUCUUGCCCUGCACUGGCAUGUUGCAUUUGGAAAUGAAACACAAGAACCAAUUUUAGUAUGGCAUUUUAAAAUGUCAUUUUAGUAUCCAUGAUGUCAAACCUGGCAUAUCAAAUUUAAUAUCAUUUUCUUUCCGUUCUUCUGAAAGACAGACCAAAUGUAUGCUAAUACAUUCAAGAAACAAUCAACGAGAAACUUUCGGAAAAGUUAGAUUCAUUAAUUUAAAAUGAUACAUUGUUAUACCAAUUUAUUACCACUUUUCACAGAUGGAAGGUUGAAAAUCAAUCAACUUAAGCAAAGUCUGUUUCUAAUUCUUAUAAUUGAUUAUCUUUUGAUUUCUAACCAGAGCGUUUGUCAGAGAAGGAUGAUUGUAAAACAUCUGUUGCGCUCUGUUUUGUCAUUUUUCAGAUGGCUCGCUGGAGGCAAGCAGACACUUCACCUGGCCUCCGAUACCCGGUUGAUCAGUUUCCAUGACGACAGUCAAAGAGAGAUGACAGCAACUGUCCAUGUUAUCAUCAGUGGCUUGGUUCUUACAGUGGAUGUUCCAGGCUUUGUGCUGCUUUGUUGACUGCAAAGGUGUGGACAAGCCGUUCCACGGAGCCGCUCACGUUGUUUUCUGAGAUACUGCUGCUGCUGUAUACCAUUCCUCGAGGACUCUCACAGAGAAAUAUUGCUAAAGGUGACCAAAAAAGUAAUAAGUUUGUGGGAGUGAACUCUGCUCAUUUUAAGAUCUUUAAAGGAAGUGGGGAAUAACUCUCAUACCGAGGGCUGGUGCAAUUCAUCUAUGAGGCGACAUAAACAUCAAAGUUUGCCAUCAGUGCACUGCAUGGAAUAUGAAUCCUUUGUUCUCCAGGUUCUGUCUGGAAGCUCUUUGUGACAGUUGUGUGAUAAAUGGCUCUGUUUAAAAUGUAGGGUUUGAAUGCACCAGGGCUAGUAGGAAGAUAAAGGAAUGUCUUCCUGUACAGGAAUAUGAUGGCAGUGGCACUGGUCUGAGAAUGUUCCUUGGUCUCAGACUCAAGAUUAGAUCAUUGUACUCCACAAUCUGACAGCUAAAGAGUUAAAUAUCAGCUCGCUAUAUGUGAUUGUCAUUCUAGAAGGGCCUGUUGGGAUAAAACUAUAACAUUUCAGCACAGCCGAUUGCAGCUCCUGAGAAUGGUAUGAGUUAGUUUGACCUUGAAUGGUUUUGAAUAGAAAUGUAUGCUUGGUUAACAGAACCUGUUCUUCGUUUUUAGGCACUGAGGUUUUGUUUGCUAAGGACAGCCAGGGAAUAAUUAACUAGUUUUUGCUACCGUUUGUAGAAUACACAAAUGGAUGCUACAAAAAUAAACGGGGGUCCGUUGAGGCUUGAGGAAGUAAUUAUCUUCUGAUGAUGUCAUAUAAAGGUGCUAAUUAUUUUAGACCAUGUUAUGCUACAGUAGCUUUAUUUUCUCUAUUACUUGGCUAUGCUAAAUGUGUUAUUUUGAAAAGUUCAUGGAAGACUCUUUUGGGGAUUUGUUUCAUGUAUGAAUUGAGGAUACUAUGUCAAAUAUGCUAGUUUUAAAUAUGUUACCAUAUACAUAAUUAAAAACUGAGAUUUGCAUUUUUAUCA